AGAAAUAGCACCCUAUCUCCAGUCAAAUUUAAUGACAAAAUGUCAUACAUGAAGCUGUAAAAACUUAGCCAAAGGGACUUCUUUCCUUGCAAAAUGUCAGAAAUGAAAGACUGUAGCUUCAAAUCUGAUUUCCCACUCACACCACCUGCCCAAUUCCACUAAGUUCACUUGCUUAAAGUAAUAUUGUGAAACUUUUUUUUGAGUGCAGUUUGCAAAUAAAAGACUGAUAAAGAGCUAAAGAAAAUGCUGUAUUGUCAAUAUUUUGUCCAGGACAAUAAGGAAUAGUUUUGGAGGAUCUUCCUGUUUGUUUGACUGAAAUGUAAUAAGAUACAAAAAGCUACCUGUUAUAGGCUUUUCCUUGGCUGCAGAUCUCCCCAGGCAUUGGAUGACUUGAGCUGAAAAGAGCAAAUCUGAAGCUUUGCUCCUUGCUGCUUGUCAGCACAAAGACUGCUGUAAAUGUCUGUCUUACUGUUCCCUUUCUCUGUCAUGGCCAUAAACCUCAAAGAGACAACUUGGGGAAGAACUGGAGGUUUGUUUUGAAAGAUAUGCUCUAAAGAAAAUUCUGUAACAGUAAACAGUAAGCACCCACAAAGUCAGGAGCAAUAAAUGAACACAUCAGAAGUGAGGAUUGUUUGAAAUGAACAUCUGGCAGGCUCAUUAAAGCUGUACAUUUACAGUAAGAAGACAGAAGAAACCAUUUGCCUCAUAGGCCACCAACAGUGCUCCAAAGAGAACAGAAGCUCCAGAGAACAUCAGUGAUCACAGAAAAAAUAAAGCAACUUAGGGAUAAAAGAAUAUAAGUUCAUACUGGUGUUGUAAAGACUAACAAAAAUAUGAGAUGCAGGUCACAGGAAGGUAAUAAAUUCAUGUAGACAUAGAUAAUUUAAUUUAAGUACUGUAUAUAUCCAUCCUACAGCCAAAGUGAGAUAAAUUUCACUAUGUUUAUGUGGUAAUUGCAGCUUACACAUUUGUGGGUUUUGUUUUGUUUUGUUUUUAUUAUUAUUAUUAUUAUGUUGUUGUUGUUGGUUUGCUUGUUUGGAUUUUUGUUUUGUUUUGUUUUCAGACACUCAGGAUCUGCACUUUGAAACAGAAGUUAAGAUCUCUGUUGUUUACUUUGGACAACUUGUAUUAUAGCCAAGUCAUAAUCUCAGUUCUGAUACAUUUUCAGAAAUUUAUGGCUACUUGUUCAAAGGAUAAAAUCUUCCUUUUUUUCUUUCUUCCUCUUUCUUUCCCUUACUCUGUUUUCAUAGCAUUAAAAAAUCCAGCUCUCUGGCUUUGCACCCUUUUGCCUCCUAAGAAAAUAUAAUAUGAGCAGUAUUCUAAUCUUGAUAUUAUUUCUACUCUAAUAUUUGUUUUUCUUUUGGAGAACAUAGAAAAUGGUCUGGAUAGCUUCAGAAAAUGCAUUGCAAAGUAUGAAAACAAAUGUUUCACAUUUUUUUCUUUCAAAAUAGUUAUCACAUGAAUAUCUAUCUCUGAAGUUUUGAAAAAUGACAUCAUAAGCUCGGCAGAGAUAUGAUUCAUGAGACUAGUAGACACAGUAUUAUAAUUAAUACUUUGCAAAGACCCAUUAAAAUCAAAUCAGGACACGGUUAAGUUCUGCCUUUUAGUGGUCCUCAGUGUUAUCUCUCCAGUGACAUUUAGGGAGGCAUUCAUCUCAUUUAAAUUUAUCUAUCUGAAAUUUAGAUAUCUUAGGCUAAUCACUUAGGUAUCCAGGAUGAGAAGGAGAAGUGUGAGGAUAAAGAAAAAAAAAAAAGAAAGAAACCAUACACUUAAGACAACAGUUCUAAUGUUGAAAAUGUGCAUAAAAUGAGAAUUAUGAGUCACAGACUGAUGGAUCCUCUAUCUUUUUUUAUUGUGUCUUGUGAAUUACUUGUGGACUAUUUGCAUCUCCUUUAGGUCUUUGGUGUUUUCAAACAAGUAAAAGGAAAAAAUGAUCUCAGAUGAACAGGAAUGGAGACUUUUUGACAAUCUAAUGUCUUAUGAAUGCUGACAAUUUUUAAUGGAUAGGACAGGAGGUGAGUGGCGUGUUAGUCAGAGCACAUGCAUGGGCACACCUGUCACACUCCAAUUUAUAGGAGGGAGAAGAGGUUCUUUGAAAUAUGUAUGCCCGGCGUGAGAUUAAGAAAUAACGGUUCAAAUGUUGGUCCGACCAGUUUAUUACAAAUGUUAAUAAGGGAGAUGGGGAAAGGGGAGAAGGACACUAUUGAGGAUUGGGGUGAUGGGGAAGGGAAGGCGAGUGAUAGAAAAGAUAGAAAGAGGCAAGAAUUGCGUAAAGCGGGGAUAGUCACCACCAGGAUCCGGCAGCAGUCCCGUUGCACGACGUUCCGACGGUCCGAGGCCGAAGGGCAGGAGCAGCGAGGCCGGUCUUGGGCAACGAGAGGGCGCAGGUCAGGGAGGAAGCAGCAGGUCUCAGGUAGCGGGCCCAGGGAAGUCCGUCAGCAAACGGUCUGUAGUGAAGGAUCGGAAGGCAGGAGGCUCGUGUCGUGGUGAGAGAUCAUGAGAGAUCAGCCUCUGUGUUGCGGUGAGAGAUCAGUCUCCACGUUGCGGUGAAGGAUCAGAUGGCAGAGAGCCCCUCAAGUCUGUCGUAGUGAGUGAUAAGCCUCUGCCGUUGCCGUGGUUGUGGUGAAGGAUCAGCUUCCACCGUUGUGGUUAUUGGACCCUCUUUUAUCCUCCAUUUUCUGCUGCCUACGUGACAUUCCUGGGUGCUUGAGCAAGAGUCCUGUGCAUACCUCCUGAGAUGGCCAUUUUCCUUGAGAUAAGUCCACACAAAAAGACCGUUUCCCGGCCAUUAGCAGCAGCUUAUCUCUCUCUCGAUGCCCCUGGCCUUGUCCAUCUGUGCUCCUUAGAGGAUAUCACAAUCCUUAGCCAG
ensembl:lncRNA